rnacentral:lncRNA from 1 species
AAGAAAAUUUUGCUCUGCAUUACAUCACCCUUAAUUUUAAAUGAUAACAACUAGCCAACUUUUCAUUUUUUAGCUAAACAAAAGGCCGGAGAAAGAGUACCUAAGGGUGUGACCUAGUGGUCAAUGAAAUGGGUUGAAAACCAUAAAGAAUCAAGUUCAAAUUCUAGCGAACGAAAAAACACUUGGUGAUUUCUUGCUAAUAGUCCAAACUUUGAUAGACAAAUUUACCAGGCACUUGCACGAUUAUAAAAAAUAUUGGCGAAAGAAUAAGUACAAAACAAAACCCAAAAGCCAGAUGCAAACGAAAUAGGUAUAUAUUCAUAGAUUUUUGUGAUUUUGGCCCCGUGGUAUAGGAAACUCUGGUUUGUGG